rnacentral:rRNA from 1 species
UGCAGAAUCCCGUGAACCAUCGAAUCUUUGAACGCAAGUUGCGCCCGAGGCCACUAGGUCGAGGGCACGCCUGCCUGGGCGUCACGC